rnacentral:rRNA from 1 species
AGAGUUUGAUCCUGGCUCAGAACGUACGCUGGCGGCACGCCUAACACAUGCAAGUCGAACGAAGUAGCAAUACUUAGUGGCAGACGGGUGAGUAACAUGUGGGUAUCUGCCCUUUGGCCUGGAAUAACACGAGGAAACUUGUGCUAAUACCGGAUAAGUCUUUACGGAGAAAGCUUUAUGCACCAUUGGAUGAGCCCGCACUUGAUUAGUUUGUUGGUGGGGUAAUGGCCUACCAAGACUGUGAUCAAUAGCUGAUUUGAGAGGAUGAUCAGCCACAUUGGGACUGAGACACGGCCCAAACUCCUACGGGAGGCAGCAGUGGGGAAUCUUGCACAAUGGAGGAAACUCUGAUGCAGCGAUGCCGCGUGAGUGAAGAAGGCCCUUGGGUUGUAAAGCUCUUUCGUCGGGGAAGAAAAUGACUGUACCCGAAUAAGAAGGUCCGGCUAACUUCGUGCCAGCAGCCGCGGUAAUACGAAGGGACCUAGCGUAGUUCGGAAUUACUGGGCUUAAAGAGUUCGUAGGUGGUUGAAAAAGUUAGUGGUGAAAUCCCAGAGCUUAACUCUGGAACUGCCAUUAAAACUUUUCAGCUAGAGUAUGAUAGAGGAAAGCAGAAUUUCUAGUGUAGAGGUGAAAUUCGUAGAUAUUAGAAAGAAUACCAAUUGCGAAGGCAGCUUUCUGGAUCAUUACUGACACUGAGGAACGAAAGCAUGGGUAGCGAAGAGGAUUAGAUACCCUCGUAGUCCAUGCCGUAAACGAUGUGUGUUAGACGUUGGAAAUUUAUUUUCAGUGUCGCAGCGAAAGCGAUAAACACACCGCCUGGGGAGUACGACCGCAAGGUUAAAACUCAAAUGAAUUGAUGGGGACCCGCACAAGUAGUGGAGCAUGUGGUUUAAUUCGAAGAUACGCGCAGAACCUUACCAACACUUGACAUGUUCGUCGCGACUCUAAGAGAUUAGAGUUUUCGGUUCGGCCGGACGAAACACAGGUGCUGCAUGGCUGUCGUCAGCUCGUGUCGUGAGAUGUUGGGUUAAGUCCCGCAACGAGCGCAACCCUCACUUUUAGUUGCCAUCAUUAAGUUGGGCACUCUGAAAGAACUGCCAGUGAUAAGCUGGAGGAAGGUGGGGAUGACGUCAAGUCCUCAUGGCCCUUACGUGUUGGGCUACACACGUGCUACAAUGGUAUCUACAACAGGAAGCAAGACUGCGAGGUCAAGCAAAUCCUUAAAAGAUACCUCAGUUCGGAUUGCACUCUGCAACUCGAGUGCAUGAAGCUGGAAUUACUAGUAAUCGUGGAUCAGCGUGCCACGGUGAAUGCGUUCCCGGGUCUUGUACACACCGCCCGUCACACCAUGGGAGUUGGUUCUACCUUAAGGCAAGGUUUCAAACCCUUGACCACGGUAUAGUCAGCGACUGGGGUGAAGUCGUAACAAGGUAACCGUA